rnacentral:snRNA from 1 species
GUUCCCCCCUUGGCAGUACCUAUACUAAAACUGGAACACUGUGGAGAUCAGCAGGACUCCAGUGCAAGGACAACAUGCAAAUUCAUGAAGGAAAGUGAGGUUUA